UAAUAUAAAUAAACUAAAUUUUUUAAUAAACAUAGUCAAUAUUUAAAUUAUACUUGAAAAUAAAAACCUUAGUUUACAAUGGGGUUUGAUGAAUUGUUUUUUUAAUAUUGGGUUUAAGCAAAAUGAGUCUUAAGCCCAUGAGUUAUAUUAAAAAAAUCCCAUAAGUUAUAUUCUAUGUAACACAAACCAAAGUCGAUUCCGAUCGUUGUUCAUAAAAAAAAAGUCUUCUACGAUCUAUGCCGAUUCAGCGACCAAAACCGGAGGACACCGCGGAUUCGUUGCUCUCCAAUAUGAACAUGUUCUCUUUUCUAUCUUUGUUCUUUUACGAAUUCAUAUGUCAACUGCGUAUUCAUUUGUCUUUGGCUUUAACUGGUGACCAUUAAAAUAGGAAUAUGAAUGAGUAGGAAAAAAAUUGCAGGAACAAAAUAAAAGAAAUGAAAAGAAAAAUUUAUUACUUUUGUUUUUGUUACACAUAACAAAAAUUCUUCAUAAAUGGUGUAAUUUUUAAGGAAUAGAUAGGAAUUGGUCAUUACCAUUAUUCAUAAAUGAUGUAAUUUUUAAGGAACGCAUAGGAAUUGGUCAUUCUUUUUGAUUCCUUAUAUCACCGGUUAGAGCUUUUUUGUUUAAUAUUUUAGUAGAAAUUAAAUCUGUUUGUUAAAUAUUCUUGUUUCCUAAUUAUUAUUUCAGGUUAGAUAUUUGAGACAAAACAUCACGAUUUACCAAACAGAGACCGAUUUAAAACAAAAAUACAUGGACGCGGCAAAGAAGAAUUGAUAAAGAAAGGGCCAUGGAAAGCCGAAGAAGACGAAGUGUUCAUCAAAGAUACGGUCCGCGUGAGUGGAGCUCAAUUCAAUCCAAAGGUCUUCUUCAACGCACCGGGAAAUCAUGCCGUCUCCGUUGGUUCAACAUACUCCGCCCAAUCUCAAAAAGUGGUUAUUCUUGGCGGAUGAAGAGAGAAUGGUGAUCGAAUUGCAGGAGGAGUUUGAUAAUCAGUUAUAGCAAUCCAAAACGUCAAACAAAUGAAUUCCUUAAGAGGAAGACAGGUAUUUUGAAAAUUUUAAAUAAAGAAAAAAAUAUAUUUCUGUUUGUUACCUUGGAUUUUUCAUUUUUCAGUUUGUGUGUGUGUGCGUUUUAGUUUCAGAGAUUUGCUUUGGUCGAGUUUGAUCUUGUUGAUAAUUAACAUUUGAGUUCGGCUCCCACUUUUGGCUAAUUUUAAAUAGUUCAGUUAAAAUUCA